CUCCAGAUGAGAAGCUAAAAAUUUCUCCUUUUCUUCAGCUUGAAGUGCUUUUGGCUGGAAAUUGACUAAAUUAACCUCUCGUCUUCUCCCACAAACGUUCUUUCCCCUCCUCUGCUGGUUCUUUGGAACUGUCUUCUCCCACAAACUUGCUUUUGGCUGAAAAGAACAGAAAUUUGAUUUCUCAUUCAAGAUAGUUGCUACGGCUUUGAGGCAACACUCCAGUGGUUAAAAGCUUAAAAGGCACCCAGGAGAAGCCGAUAUUCCUCAACUAGCAAAAGUAGAAGUUGAUCAUCUCUUUUUUUCUUGUUUAAAACAAAGCAGUUCACUCUCUUUCAAGGGUAUUAAGGAAGUGGAAUUAUGAUGAAUGGACGGUAGAACAGUGAGAUCUGGUGCAAAAGAUGAGAAAUAAGCAGCAAAAGGGAUGCCGGGUUUUGACUUGAGAAAUAAGCAGUUCAUUUUGCACUAAACCAAAAUGUGCAUCGUCGAGAAAGUGACGACGACGACGACGAUGGUGAUGGUGAUGAUGACGGUGAAUCAAACAAUUCAAGUGGUUUUAAAAUGAAAUUAACAAGAGAUGCUAUAGCAUCUAGUUUAAUGAAUUCACUUUA